UACGUAGGGGCUAGCGUUGUCCGGAUUUAUUGGGCGGUAAAGAGCGUGUAGGCGGCCAGGUAGGUCGGUGUGAAAACGUCGACGGCUUAACCCUCGAAGAUGUCAUCGGAAACCAUUUGGCUAGAGUCCGGAAGAGGAGAGUGGAAUUCCGUGGAUGUAGCGGUAGAAUGCGCAGAUAUCAGGAAGAACACCAAUGGCGAAAGCAGCUCUCUGGGACGGUACUGACGCUGAGACGCGAAAGCGUGGGGAGCGAACAGG
rnacentral:rRNA from 1 species